UACGUAGGGUGCGAGCGUUGUCCGGAAUUAUUGGGCGUAAAGAGCUCGUAGGCGGUUUGUUGCGUCUAUCGUGAAAACCGCGGCUCAACCGUGUGGUCUGCAGUCGAUACGGGCAGGCUAGAGUUCGGUAGGGGAGACUGGAAUUCCUGGUGUAGCGGUGAAAUGCGCAGAUAUCAGGAGGAACACCGGUGGCGAAGGCGGGUCUCUGGGCCGAUAACUGA
rnacentral:rRNA from 1 species